rnacentral:misc_RNA from 1 species
AAGUCGUAACAAGGUUUCCGUAGGUGAACCUGCGGAAGGAUCAUUACACAAGUAAAAUUAUGGUUCGGAACAGCACGGGCGUCUCCCCCCGGGUCGAGACGCUGGCUGAUCUUCAUAUUUACCAACCCUUUGCCUAUACGUACCCUUAUCGCUUCCUCGGCAGGCCCGCCUGCCGCCAGGAACCACACAAACCCUUUGCAUCUAUACACGAAAACUUCUGAUACAAAAAACAAAAUUAUUACAACUUUUAACAAUGGAUCUCUUGGUUCUG